rnacentral:rRNA from 1 species
UACAGAGGUCUCAAGCGUUGUUCGGAAUUACUGGGCGUAAAGGGUGCGCAGGCCGCGCGGGCAGUCAAAUAUGUAAUUCAGGGGCUCAACCCCUGCACUGCGCUUGAUACUUCCGCGCUAGAACUUUGGAGAGGAGUCUGGAAUUCUCGGUGUAGCAGUGAAAUGCGUGGAUAUCGAGAAGAACACUAACGGCGUAAGCAAGACUCUGGACAAAUGUUGACGCUCAAGCACGAAGGCUAGGGUAGCGAACGGG